AAGGAUCCACUCAAAACAUCAUAAAAAAUUAUCCAUGAUAAUUAUUAACUAUUUUAUCCAUUUAGUAAUAGUCCUAUUUUUUUCUCUCAGUUACCUUCUUUCCAUUCUCAAAACAACUAAACUCCUCCAAUUCCUCCAAUUCUGAAUCACAUCCAUAGUUUGCAAGAUGAUUUUUUUUUAGCAAUCCUAAAAUAACUUUCAAUAAAAUUGAAAUUGUUAUCACAUUCUAUGAUCAUAUCAACAUUACAUUCCCAAAAUAAUUCAAAAUAUUAAUAGAAUACCUAGCAUAUCAACUCAAAAUAUACCAUCAUAUAUUGGUGGUUUAAGUUUGAAGAUACGUCUCUUGGAACUAGGCUUGGUGCAUUUAGCCGAAAAUUAAAAUUGUGCAAACCUUCUACACUUAGCCUAAGAAAAGCCCUAGGAACCAUAAUAUAUAUCCAUAGGAGAAAAUCAUAAAUUAAUUUAAUGGUCUUCAAGUAAUAAGAAUUUUAAGAUACCUAAUCAUAACCUAAAUUCUACCCCACUCUCAGUAACUAUCCUAAGCUCCAGAAUCUUGAAC
rnacentral:lncRNA from 1 species